rnacentral:rRNA from 1 species
CCUUAGAGUUUGAUCCUGGCUCAGGAUGAACGCUAGCGACAGGCUUAACACAUGCAAGUCGAGGGGCAGCACAGGUAGCAAUACCGGGUGGCGACCGGCGCACGGGUGAGUAACGCGUAUGCAACUUACCUAUCAGAGGGGGAUAACCCGGCGAAAGUCGGACUAAUACCGCAUGAAGCAGGGGCCCCGCAUGGGGAUAUUUGCUAAAGAUUCAUCGCUGAUAGAUAGGCAUGCGUUCCAUUAGGCAGUUGGCGGGGUAACGGCCCACCAAACCGACGAUGGAUAGGGGUUCUGAGAGGAAGGUCCCCCACAUUGGAACUGAGACACGGUCCAAACUCCUACGGGAGGCAGCAGUGAGGAAUAUUGGUCAAUGGACGAGAGUCUGAACCAGCCAAGUAGCGUGAAGGAUGACUGCCCUAUGGGUUGUAAACUUCUUUUAUACGGGAAUAAAGUGGAGUAUGCAUACUCCUUUGUAUGUACCGUAUGAAUAAGGAUCGGCUAACUCCGUGCCAGCAGCCGCGGUAAUACGGAGGAUCCGAGCGUUAUCCGGAUUUAUUGGGUUUAAAGGGAGCGUAGAUGGAUGUUUAAGUCAGUUGUGAAAGUUUGCGGCUCAACCGUAAAAUUGCAGUUGAUACUGGAUAUCUUGAGUGCAGUUGAGGCAGGCGGAAUUCGUGGUGUAGCGGUGAAAUGCUUAGAUAUCACGAAGAACUCCGAUUGCGAAGGCAGCCUGCUAAGCUGCAACUGACAUUGAGGCUCGAAAGUGUGGGUAUCAAACAGGAUUAGAUACCCUGGUAGUCCACACGGUAAACGAUGAAUACUCGCUGUUUGCGAUAUACGGCAAGCGGCCAAGCGAAAGCGUUAAGUAUUCCACCUGGGGGGUACGCCGGCAACGGUGAAACUCAAAGGAAUUGACGGGGGCCCGCACAAGCGGAGGAACAUGUGGUUUAAUUCGAUGAUACGCGAGGAACCUUACCCGGGCUUAAAUUGCAGAUGAAUUACGGUGAAAGCCGUAAGCCACAAGGCAUCUGUGAAGGUGCUGCAUGGUUGUCGUCAGCUCGUGCCGUGAGGUGUCGGCUUAAGUGCCAUAACGAGCGCAACCCUUGUUGUCAGUUACUAACAGGUUCCGCUGAGGACUCUGACAAGACUGCCAUCGUAAGAUGUGAGGAAGGUGGGGAUGACGUCAAAUCAGCACGGCCCUUACGUCCGGGGCUACACACGUGUUACAAUGGGGGGUACAGAGGGCCGCUACCACGCGAGUGGAUGCCAAUCCCAAAAACCUCUCUCAGUUCGGACUGGAGUCUGCAACCCGACUCCACGAAGCUGGAUUCGCUAGUAAUCGCGCAUCAGCCACGGCGCGGUGAAUACGUUCCCGGGCCUUGCACUCACCGCCCGUCAAG